AUUUAAUCAACUUCAUGUGCAUACAAGGAAGGAUGAUUCUUGAGAUAUGUCAGCAAUUUACAGAACUUGCCUGUAGGAUCGUUGCCUCUGUAAGUUCUGGAUGAAAUUAUGAGAUUAUCCUUCACAACCCCACGACUGAAGAGCUAACCCUACAGUUAAAAUUGGAAUCAUAAAAUUCAAGGGUAGUUAAUACCAUAGAAACCUGCAAAACUUACUAAUCCUACAGAUAAAGUACAUUAUAAAGCCUGCAGUUUUAGGAUCUGGCGAUUUACCAAUUCAGUGGCUUUGAUACUAAAUGAAUACUCAGCAGAAUUUCCUGAAGAUGGAGUAAAUAUGAUUUCUUGAGAUAGAUCCCAAAUUCACUCUCCAAUGCUUCACUUGAGAGUAUUAGAAGUACAUAAGAUUUUUUAUUUUUCACUAGUUCCAUUCACUUUAAAGUAUUAGAUUCCAUUCC
rnacentral:misc_RNA from 1 species